rnacentral:rRNA from 1 species
AGAGUUUGAUUCUGGCUCAGGAUGAACGCUAGCUACAGGCUUAACACAUGCAAGUCGAGGGGCAGCAUCAUCAAAGCUUGCUUUGAUGGAUGGCGACCGGCGCACGGGUGAGUAACACGUAUCCAACCUGCCGACAACACUGGGAUAGCCUUUCGAAAGAAAGAUUAAUACCGGAUGGCAUAGUUUUCCCGCAUGGGAUAAUUAUUAAAGAAUUUCGGUUGUCGAUGGGGAUGCGUUCCAUUAGGCAGUUGGCGGGGUAACGGCCCACCAAACCAACGAUGGAUAGGGGUUCUGAGAGGAAGGUCCCCCACAUUGGAACUGAGACACGGUCCAAACUCCUACGGGAGGCAGCAGUGAGGAAUAUUGGUCAAUGGACGAGAGUCUGAACCAGCCAAGUAGCGUGAAGGAUGACUGCCCUAUGGGUUGUAAACUUCUUUUAUAUGGGAAUAAAGUGAGCCACGUGUGGCUUUUUGUAUGUACCGUAUGAAUAAGGAUCGGCUAACUCCGUGCCAGCAGCCGCGGUAAUACGGAGGAUCCGAGCGUUAUCCGGAUUUAUUGGGUUUAAAGGGAGCGUAGGCGGGUUGUUAAGUCAGUUGUGAAAGUUUGCGGCUCAACCGUAAAAUUGCAGUUGAUACUGGCGACCUUGAGUGCAACAGAGGUAGGCGGAAUUCGUGGUGUAGCGGUGAAAUGCUUAGAUAUCACGAAGAACUCCGAUUGCGAAGGCAGCUUACUGGAUUGUAACUGACGCUGAUGCUCGAAAGUGUGGGUAUCAA